UUUCGCGGCUGCUCCCCACCCAACCGAAGAGGUCGCCGCCGCCUCCUCUUUCUCUGCAGUCGCCGCCACCUCCUAAUUAAUGAGUUCAUUCCUGUCCUGAGUUGGGCGACUAGUAGUCACUCUAAACGUUUGCUCUUUUCGUUUAAUAUGGCAGACUCAGGUAACAAGGGACUCGUAAGCAGCAGCAGCAGAUGCUGAAGAAGAGAUAAUGCAAGAAACUUGAGCUGAGUGAAGAAACUGAAAACACCGUCAAAUGAUGCAAGUACCUCACUCUGCCGCCGAGAGUGCGAGGGUCCUGGAGGUUGCGCGCACCGUCUUUCGAUACCGGUGUAUUUGUCCUCUAAAAGCUUCAGGGACGAUGUUAAAUAGAAACCGAAUUUCAUCAGGAAUUGUGUUUUAAAAAGCAUAAAUGCUCAAUGAUGAGGUGUUUGAGCCCAGCGGCUCAUGUAUGCGGACAACGUGGGUUUGUGCCUACAGAUUACAAACUGAACGUCGUGAAAGUGAUGAGGAUCCAGAUUCUGAGACGACUGGUAAAGUUGAGAAAAAGAGGGGCAAAGAGUGAAAAGGAGAAAAAGGAUUUAGAAAAAACCCAAAGAACAAAAAACACCCCCCCAAAAAACAACUUUGAAGUACUGAGUAUAUGCUGACUUCAUAAAGUUGUGCAUUUAUAUGUCAUUUGAACAAAACGAAUAUUUCAAGACUAAGGUGGUAAAGAAGAUAGGAGCUAAUGUUAAAAUGAAGUUUCUUAACCCCUUUCUCUUUAAAUGUUCGAAAAUUGAGGUUUGCAAAGGAUGUCAGGUAGAUCAGAGGGAAAUGAAGAACACCUCUCCAAAAGCCAAGCUUUGAAUGGGGACAGCCGUUCGCUGAAGUGAGCUGUGUAAAGAGGUGGGAGGAAAAGAGCUUGUGCAUCACAGAAGCUUCAAUUCAGUUCUGGAGGAUGAGAAGUUCAACAUCAAAGUGCCAGCAUCUAAUGAAGGCCUUCUUGCUGUGUUCUCUGAAGAGGAGGAUCACUGCAUCCUCACAAGGUAGAAGAUGGAAGAGCAAAGAGGCAAAAGGGGGUAAACUUGUCUUUUUAUGACAGUAUUAAUCCCACCCAUGUGGAUGGAGCCCUCAUAGCCUAAUCACCUCUUAAAGGUCCCACCUCUUAAUACUGUUACAAUGGCAAUUAAAUUUCAACAUGAAUUUUGUAGGGGACAAAUAUUCAAAUUAUAGCAUUCCACCACUGGCCCCUCAAAACUCAUGUUCCUCUCACAUACAAAAUGCAUCCAUCCUAUCUCGACAGUGCCACAAGUUUUAACUUGUUCCAACAUCAACUCAGAAGUCUAAAAGGCACCUCAUCUAAACAUCAUGAAUGAGACUUAAGUUAUGAUUCAUCCUGAGGCAAAUUACCUUCUAGCUAUGAGCCUGUGAAAUCAAAACAAGUUAUGUGCUUCCAAAAUACAAUGGUGGGAUAGGCAUAGGGUAGACAUUCCUAUGCCAAAAGAGAGAAAUUGGCAAAAAGGGUAACAUGUCCUAAGUGAGUCCAAUCCCAAGAGGGAAAACAACACUAAAUCCUAAGACUGGAAAAUAAUCUUCUUUGACUCCAUGUCCCACCAUUCGAACAUACCAGGUCAGGGUUUGGCCCCUAAUAUCUUGGGCAGCCCCACCCCUUUGGCUUUGCUGGGUACAGCCCACACAACAGCUCUUACAGGUUUGAAUCUUAUGCCUGCAGCUCUCUCAGACUAGUGUUGCAUAUUGGUGGGAUCUACAAUUCUGGGGUUUCUGAGG